rnacentral:rRNA from 1 species
GACGAGCGCUGGCGGCGUGCCUAACACAUGCAAGUCGAACGGAGAAUUAGCAAUAAUUCUUAGUGGCGAACGGGUGAGUAACGCGUAAAUAAUCUGCCCUUUAGAUGGGGACAACAGAUCGAAAGAUCUGCUAAUACCGAAUGUUGUUAAAGAAACGCAUGUUUCUUUAACUAAAGAUGGCCUCUAUUCAUAAGCUAUCGCUAAAGGAUGAAUUUGCGUCUGAUUAGCUAGUUGGUGAGAUAAAAGCUCACCAAGGCAACGAUCAGUAGCCGGUCUGAGAGGAUGAACGGCCACACUGGGACUGAGACACGGCCCAGACUCCUACGGGAGGCAGCAGUGGGGAAUCUUCCGCAAUGGACGAAAGUCUGACGGAGCAACGCCGCGUGAGUGAAGAAGGUUUUCGGAUCGUAAAGCUCUGUUGUUAAGGACGAAUGUAUAGAUUGUAAAUAAUGGUUUAUAAUGACGGUACUUAACGAGGAAGCCACGGCUAACUACGUGCCAGCAGCCGCGGUAACAC